CAGCCUAUGCAACAAUGGCGGCGGACGGCCUGUGGCAGUAUUUUUUUCGUGUACGGUUGGCUUUGGUCGCCUGGCUCCCCUAGCCCGUGCGUCGGUGCUUCAAUUCCAUCCUUGAAAGAUGGUCCACGAACUUUUCUCUUUUUCUUUUUAACUUGUCGCUAGCCAGUGGCGUUAAUAUCGUGUCAAACAGGGCCAUAUCCGGCCGUCCGAUGCACGGAAAAAUGUUUCCUGUCAACCAUACUGAUCGCACUGUGAUAGUACGGCAGGGUGCGUCGUGGCUCGUCGUGCGCUAUCUUUACAAAGCGGUUACAAGUCCAACGAGGACGUGAAUUCGCAGGUUCCUGUGCGAGGAUUGAGGUAGGAACGUCUCGGCUGUUGCCCUUGUCGCACGCGGUAGCGCUGGAUGUCCGCUCUUCAAGCACAAGCGAACCACGCAGAGUUGUCGCCCGGCGGUGUCAGCUGUCACCGAAUGGGAAGGCACGAGCAAGGAUGUUGAACUUUCCGACUGUCACGUAACCAACAACUCGAGGGGCUGGAAGCAAUUGGCACGAGUGCAUUCUACGGGUUGCAAACCCUGGACAAGCAAACUGCUGACAACGAACCUGCGACCAGCUGUGCUUACAAAGCGGGCACUGAUGGCUAUUCAACAACUCUUGCGCGGUGCUGUCGAAGGCCCGGAAUGCACCUGUGCAACUUCGUUUGCUCGUGCAAUCGCUCGAGGAAACAGAUUUCACGCUAUUUCUCCUGUCACAUGUGCCUCCCAGAAUGAGUUCGACGUCGGUACGGACGGGAUGCUGUGGUGCCGGUACUGUAACUACGUGAGCAAGAGGGGCUUCAACAUGAGGCGGCACUACCAGAGGAACCACCUGGGCCUGCUGGCUCCCCGCCUGGUAUCGAGGGCAGAGUUGGUGCUCCUGCCUCCCGUUUCGGAAGGAUCCCACAGGGGCUGGAUCCUACCCUAGGAGCCGAGGGGCUGCAUCAAACCUCCCGCCGUUUGUCAUGGACGCCGUGCCUCACAGUGUUUGAACUUGGAAGAAAAGAAAUUACUACCCUAUUUUUGUAUCACUCGGGAGCCUUAAAACUGCAGCCACCGCCAGGGCGAGAAUGACAAGGGUCGUCCUGGCCGUCCUGCCUCCUGCGCAAGCUUCCCACCUUAGGCAACGCUUGGGCGUCCUGUCGGUGGCUGUUAUGGGACAUCGGUGGCUCCCCACUGGACUGCUUGCAAUAAAAUAUGCCGGUCUACGUUA